rnacentral:sRNA from 1 species
UGAUUGUGAUUGGUGAUUAUAGGCCAUGA